rnacentral:lncRNA from 9 species
CCAGGAGAGGACGGAGGAGGGAUGGACUGGCUCUGCUGCAUCCCGCUCUCCCGAGGCCGAGCCCGAGGCCGAGGCCGCAGGCGUCGUCACGGCAGAGAUGGCCUCUGCCAAGCCUGCAGAACCUGGAUGAGAACGCGAGGCGGACGCCUAUGGGCCGUUGCCCGCAGGGACCCAGAGAGUCCCCCACCUGAGACCCGCCAGGAGCUGGGUGAGGAAGGCAGAAGGCCUCCCGAGGAACCUCCUCGCAGGCCGCUCCCCGGGGUCCUCUGCCGGGCUGGUGGCGAGCGCGGCACCGCCAGCUGUGGCCAUGAAGACACCGUCCACAUGAGCCUGACAACCCUGGAAGGCCUGGCCCCCCCUGAGGCCCAGCCUGAAGCAGGAGACCUGGAGCCAGAGGCCAAGACGCCAGCCGAGCGGAAAGACCCUGGAGCAGCCCCCAGAGGAGGUCCAGAACCACAGGAGGACUCAGCACCCGGGCAGGGAGGAAAUGUAGCUCUUUCAGAGGGACACUCACGUCCUCGUGGGGACUCGCCCCCCGGGGAGGAUGAACCCUCUGCUCCUCUCCCAAGAGGCCCAGCUCCUCUUGAGGAGUCACCACCCGGGCAGGGUGGAACCAUGGCGCCUCCUGCAGGAGGACCAGGCCCCCAGGAAGACUCAGCCCACGGGCAGGCUCAACCUACUGCUCCUCCGGAUGGAGGACCAGAGCCUCAGGAGACCUCACCUCCCGGGCAGGGAGGUGAUGAAAAUCCUGCUCCUCCUACAGGAGGACGAGGCUCUCAGGUGGACUCACCAGCCGGGCAGGAUGAAAACGCGGCUCCGGCCGCAUCCCCACACACUGAUGUGCCUUUCCCUGUGCUGGAUGGCAACGUUGCCCCGGCCUCCGCCGGGGACAAAGGGCCCGAGGAGCAUUCAGCAGCCCUUCUGGGAGCGCCUGCCCUGACUGCUCCCGCACCCCCUGUACCAGGUCCUGGCCUGGCUCUUUCAGGAACCCUCGGCCCGUUUCCAAAACCACCUUCCCCAAGGUCCCCUCCGCCCCUGCCAGUGCCCUCCCCAUCAGCUCCCCCCAAACCCCAUCCCCCUGCUCCCCCUCCUGACAUGGGCUCUCCUUCCCCUCUCCUGAUUUCUCUUUGGAUGUGUGUCCAAUUUCUCUUCCUCUUCCAUAUCAUCUAUGGCAUAGUUUAAUUCAUGUUGAGAGCCUAGAAAGUUUAGAAAGUUGAAACUAAGUAAAAAUGAAAAGAUAAGGUAGUUAUUGAUAGGGAAAUAAGAAAAAGCAAAAAUUAAUAAAUAAAGUGAAUUAUUAUCCAC